rnacentral:rRNA from 1 species
UACGAGGGGGGCAAGCGUUGUUCGGAUUUAUUGGGCGUAAAGGGUGCGUAGGCGGUUCAGUAAGUCAGGUGUGAAAUCUCCGCGCUCAACGCGGAGCGGCCACCUGAUACUGCUGUGACUCGAGUCCGGUAGGGGAGUGUGGAAUUCCCGGUGUAGCGGUGAAAUGCGUAGAUAUCGGAAGGAACACCUGUGGCGAAAGCGGCUCACUGGACCAUUACUGACGCUGAUGCACGAAAGCUAGGGGAGCAAACAGG